UUGGAUACUAGAAAAAAUUCGA
rnacentral:siRNA from 1 species